rnacentral:lncRNA from 1 species
GUAACCAAUAAGAAGCUGUUGGCAGAGAGAAGACAAAGAGCCACAAGAGAAAAUUCGGUAUGCACAACAGAGGCCAGGAACCAAAAGCUGUGUCACAACAGAAGGACAUCUGGCUCAUGACAGCCUGCUGCUGUGUGAUCUUGGGAAUGUCACUUGCCCUUCCAAAGUCUCUAUCUCUCUGUAACACCGGAAUGAGAAAGUAUCUGCUUCAUAAUGCUGUGGCAAGGAAUCCAUGA